rnacentral:rRNA from 1 species
ACAUGCCUACAACAUAACAUUAAUGCACUAGAUCCCAUUAGAACUCCGCAGUUAAGCACGCUCAGGAUAGAGUUGUACUGGGAUGGGUAAUCCCCCGGGAAGUCCUAGUGUUUUACAUGCC